rnacentral:rRNA from 1 species
AUUGAACGCUGGCGGCAGGCUUAACACAUGCAAGUCGAGCGGGGGAGGUUGCUUCGGUAACUGACCUAGCGGCGGACGGGUGAGUAAUGCUUAGGAAUCUGCCUAUUAGUGGGGGACAACAUUCCGAAAGGGAUGCUAAUACCGCAUACGCCCUACGGGGGAAAGCAGGGGAUCUUCGGACCUUGCGCUAAUAGAUGAGCCUAAGUCGGAUUAGCUAGUUGGUGGGGUAAAGGCCUACCAAGGCGACGAUCUGUAGCGGGUCUGAGAGGAUGAUCCGCCACACUGGGACUGAGACACGGCCCAGACUCCUACGGGAGGCAGCAGUGGGGAAUAUUGGACAAUGGGCGGAAGCCUGAUCCAGCCAUGCCGCGUGUGUGAAGAAGGCCUUUUGGUUGUAAAGCACUUUAAGCGAGGAGGAGGCUCUUAAGGUUAAUAUCCUUGAUGAGUGGACGUUACUCGCAGAAUAAGCACCGGCUAACUCUGUGCCAGCCGCCGCGGUAACAC